rnacentral:rRNA from 1 species
AACGAACGCUGGCGGCAGGCCUAACACAAGCAAGUCGAGCGAAGCCUUCGGGCUUAGCGGCGGACGGGUGAGUAACGCGUGGGAACGUGCCCUUUGGUACGGAAUAGCCCCGGGAAACUGGGAGUAAUACCGUAUGUGGUCGAAAGACGAAAGAUUUAUCGCCAAAGGAUCGGCCCGCGUUGGAUUAGGUAGUUGGUGGGGUAAUGGCCUACCAAGCCGACGAUCCAUAGCUGGUUUGAGAGGAUGAUCAGCCACACUGGGACUGAGACACGGCCCAGACUCCUACGGGAGGCAGCAGUGGGGAAUCUUAGACAAUGGGGGAAACCCUGAUCUAGCCAUGCCGCGUGAUCGAUGAAGGCCUUAGGGUUGUAAAGAUCUUUCAGUGGGGAAGAUAAUGACUGUACCCACAGAAGAAGCCCCGGCUAACUCCGUGCCAGCCGCCGCAGUAA